rnacentral:rRNA from 1 species
AGUGAACGCUGGCAGUAGGCCUAACACAUGCAAGUCGAACGGCAGCACAGUAAGAGCUUGCUCUUACGGGUGGCGAGUGGCGGACGGGUGAGGAAUACAUCGGAAUCUACUUUUUCGUGGGGGAUAACGUAGGGAAACUUACGCUAAUACCGCAUAAGACCUACGGGUGAAAGCAGGGGAUCUUCGGACCUUGCGCGAUUGAAUGAGCCGAUGUCGGAUUAGCUAGUUGGCGGGGUAAAGGCCCACCAAGGCAACGAUCCGUAGCUGGCCUGCGAGGAUGAUCAGCCACACUGGAACUGAGACACGGUCCAGACUCCUACGGGAGGCAGCAGUGGGGAAUAUUGGACAAUGGGCGCAAGCCUGAUCCAGCCAUACCGCGUGGGUGAAGAAGGCCUUCGGGUUGUAAAGCCCUUUUGUUGGGAAAGAAAAGCAGCAGGUUAAUACCCCGCUGUUCUGACGGUACCCAAAGAAUAAGCACCGGCUAACUUCGUG